UGGGGCUUGAAUUCACAACCCCGAGAUUAAGGGUCAUAUGCUCUAUGACUGAGCCAGCCAGGAGCCCUUCUGCUUGUAUUACGAUUAUUGCUGCCUAGUUCCCAUCUAUAGCCAUCCCACUCCUGAAGCACCACACUGAUCACAAAGCCUUCCCAACCGAGAAUCCCCCUGCAGAACCAAUCCCAUGAGAGACGUCCGGUCAGUCCUGCUCAGCCUGCACCUCUCACCAAGAUUCCUCGCACAGCCAAGACCUUUGCCAGAAAGCUGCUGAAUGAAGGAAAUCAGAAUGGUGAUGAUUCUCCCACCCCAAGAUGUUCCCAUCUUGAAGGGAGGGAAAGAGGAGACAACGAGAGACUGAUCUGCACUGUGGACUAAGAGACUGAACACCCAGGCAGUGGCCAGAGCAGAUGGAAAAACAGAAUUCCGACCCAUGACCUGCAGAAACCUGCCCAGCAGACCAACUCUUCAUCCAACAAGAAAACACCCAGGCUAUCCAUAGGUCACAUCUGUAAGAGGACUAUCUCUACUUAAAAUUCAGAAAGCGAAACGUGAACUUUCUGUAACAAUUGGCUCAAAAUGGCCAGAACGGACAACUUCCCCAAGUUUUGUCCACAUUGCAACUUAGAGCCAAACAAUGUGGAAGACAGUAAAUGGCCAAAUAACGCACCCCCAACCAGUCACACAGGACGCCUGGCUUCUAGAUACCUGCCUUUACAGCUUCCCCAGGCGGACAGCCUACAGAGAAGGCACAUCGGAAUCCUUCCCUUUUUCCUGCUAUAAAUAAAGCUUUCCCACCCCUCUGCCUGACCUUCAGUCUCUUUGAGAACAAGUGACCAUGGCUGACUGACCCCCUUGAUGUAGCAAGCUCUGAAUAAAUAGCCUUUGCUCUU